rnacentral:rRNA from 1 species
GAUGAACGCUAGCGGCAGGCCUAACACAUGCAAGUCGAGGGAGAGGUUACCUUCGGGAAACCAAAACCGGCGCACGGGUGCGUAACGCGUAUACAAUCUGCCUUUCACAUAGGGAUAGCCCGAAGAAAUUUGGAUUAAUACCUAAUGGUAUAUAAGAGCGGCAUCGUUUUUAUAUUAAAGCUACGGUGGUGAAAGAUGAGUAUGCGUUCUAUUAGCUAGUUGGAGAGGUAACGGCUCCCCAAGGCGACGAUAGAUAGGGGUUCUGAGAGGGAUGUCCCCCACACUGGUACUGAGAUACGGACCAGACUCCUACGGGAGGCAGCAGUGAGGAAUAUUGGACAAUGGUCGGAAGACUGAUCCAGCCAUGCCGCGUGCAGGAUGAAGGUCCUAUGGAUUGUAAACUGCUUUUGUAAGGGAAGAAUAAGGAGUACGUGUACUUUGAUGACGGUACCUUACGAAUAAGCAUCGGCUAACUCCGUGCCAGCAGCCGCGGUAAUACGGAGGAUGCGAGCGUUAUCCGGAAUCAUUGGGUUUAAAGGGUCCGUAGGCGGGCUGAUAAGUCAGAGGUGAAAGCGCUUAGCUCAACUAAGCAACUGCCUUUGAAACUGUCAGUCUUGAAUGAUUGUGAAGUAGUUGGAAUGUGUAGUGUAGCGGUGAAAUGCUUAGAUAUUACACAGAACACCGAUAGCGAAGGCAUAUUACUAACAAUUUAUUGACGCUGAUGGACGAAAGCGUGGGGAGCGAACAGG